UAGAGAUGUAGAUGUGUGUAAGUUUAAUCAAGUGCUGGCUGAAGAAACAACAUUAUAAAAAGCUAGAGUGGAGUAAAGGGCGGACUUCUCUGCGUGACUUUGUCACCUCAGCGAGAUCACUCUUGUCACAGCUGCAGACACACCACUGUCCCCCACAUUACAUUACAAAGAAUUACAGACAUUUUCAUUACAAGUCUGACAGAGAGACUGAGCUGGGAGAGUGGCUUGGCUCCGGGUGAUGGGGCCCGCUGGUUGCGCGGGGCUGCUGGGAAUGGGCUUUCAGACCACAUUUGUUAUUUAUUGUUAAUUUCCUGCCACGUAAUCAUCCAAAAAUGCAAACUGACUGCCGCAAAAUUAAGCAGAAAAUUAACUGGCCCCAGGUCACGAGGAUGCGGGUGUUUGUCGUGGCCAGCUGAUCGGCGCUCAUGUUCUCUCUAAUUUACUGAGCAUGCAUCGCUGAGCCCGCAGCCUGAGCACAGACGCAUGCAAGCCACAAUGAGAAACAAAGAGAGGGAGAGUAAGAGCGAGAAGAAGACAGAAAAGCAGCGAGAUAGCUAUAGAGGCAGAGAAGUAAAUAGCAAUGAAAGGGCAAGAAGUCAGAAGAGCGAAAGCAACAGGAAGGUGCAGAGAAAAGGAGACAGAAAAGCAGGCCGAGGGACAGAGAAGUUCUCUUUAUUUAUGUUUUAGAAGUGAUCCUCCGGCCAGGGCUGAAUAUCUGAGGAGUCACCAGUGCUCGUGGCCCCAUUAAUAAUGGAUGGCCCUCAAGCCUGCAGCAGAUGGGCCCGACAGCCUCAGCCCCAGCUCCGCCACUUCAAGAAGCCCUUCGUGGGGCCGCUGCCCAGUCCAAGCAGCCACUCAGGGAGAAGUGAAGCUCCCGAAAAUAGCGAAAUGAGCCCAAGGGAGAAGGGGAACCUAGGCCUUCCUGUUUUACUGACAGAUGGCUCCACACAUUUGGAACAAAUAGUGGGAAGCGACCGGGCCACUCUGUCGCAACGCACAGUAUUCUGCGGAGUCAAGUCAGGAGCUAAAGACGCCCAGGAUGCAAGUGUGAGAGGAGGAGGGGGCGGGAGGGAGGAGGGGGCAAAGGUCACUGGUGCAGAUGAUUUGUUCGGCACAACACGGGGUAUUGCGUGUUACUCUGCUGAGCGACGACUCUGCAGCGACGACUCUGCAGCGCCGUUCUUCAGCAUCUGGAGUUUGGAGGUCGGGGGCAGAGGGGGGUAUAUUCUCAUGUGCCCUUUUUUUCUGGGCAGAUGGUGCGAGGGGAAACACGGAUGUGUUGGUGACAGAAAUAAAAAAGAGAGUUCCUACAUUCAGCCACAACCCACUUGCAUAGGCAUGUGGAAAGUAAGGUGCAAUUAGAAUAUUCAGGAAGUAGUUAUUUUGUUUGAGCACAAAGUGACACUAUUUUCAUGCUGUUUUUAUUUUCAACAUGUUUGUUGUUACUAUUUUAAAAACUUUUCCCAUACUGAUUUUAGUUGUGCUGCAAUUUUUACAUACUGUGCCUUAACUUUCCUUUGCCAAAGUUUAUAGUCCUACUUUGAAAACGUACUUUUGAUAAGAGCAGGUGCUGUGCAAUUAAAACGUUUUCAUACAACUAACCAUAAUCUGAACUUUUUUCUCAUUUAUUUUAUCAAACCAUAACUGAAAUUCUGAAAUAGCAUUAUUAUUUCCCCUUAUUGCUCAUGUCCUGGUUGUAACAAGGGUGUGUGUGUGUGUGUGUGUGUGUGUGUGUGUGUGUGUGUGUGUGUGUGUGUGUGUGAAAUGGGGGCAGGUGGAAUCUUUCAGCCAGUGAAAUAGAAGUCACAGAAAAGACUUCUGACACAUAGCGCAGGGGGGGGCUGGAAAAGUUUUGGUCUGAGUACGUCAAGUGAGGAGAGGCAGGAAGAGGCUUGUGGGUUGACAGAAUUCUCGGUCCUCCUCCUAUGUAUGUGUGUGUGUUUGGUGGAUGGUGGCGGUGUGUUGGGGGGUGGGGGUUAGAGGCGUCUGCUCAUAGUGAGGUGCAAAAGCUACACCAGGGAGCAGGGUGGAGAUGAGAAACAACGAAACCGUUAACAGAUACUGAGGACCACACCAGCAAAGUUUGGAUACCCAGGAGGAAGCUUAGACACUGAAAGAUGAUGUAUCUGCAGACAGAUUUGCAGCACUUUCAGCACUUCUCUUUCCAACCGAGCUAUGAAAAAGUCCUAUUUGUGCAGGCCGAGUCUGCAGCGGGGAGUCGAGCCACCGAGCCCUUGGCACUUGCUUUGUGCCGUGCCAAUAAAAGCUGACACCCAGUAGACCAUUACUGGCAGCCAUGCAUGAGAUGGGAUGAGGCGCGCGAGGAGAGUGGAC